GAAUAUUGGACAAUGGGCGAAAGCCUGAUCCAGCAAUGCCGCGUGCAGGAUGAAGGCCGUCGGGUUGUAAACUGCUUUUGUACGGAACGAAAAGCUUUGGGUGAAUACCCUGGAGUCAUGACGGUACCGUAAGAAUAAGCAACGGCUAACCGCGUACCGAGAGCCGCGGUAAUACGUAGGGUGCAAGCGUUAAUCGGAAUUACUGGGCGUAAAGCGUGCGCAGGCGGUUUUGUAAGACAGAGGUGAAAUCCCCGGGCUCAACCUGGGAACUGCCUUUGUGACUGCAAGGCUAGAGUACGGCAGAGGGGGGUGGAAUUCCGCGUGUAGCAGUGAAAUGCGUAGAUAUGCGGAGGAACACCGAUGGCGAAGGCAACCCCCUGGGCCUGUACUGACGCUCAUGCACGAAAGCGUGUGGAGCAAACAGG
rnacentral:rRNA from 1 species